UCUUUAUAAUUUGUAAUUUAUCUAAAUAUUUCAGCAUCUCCUGCCAGUACAAGCUCUACUACAACUGAGACAGCAGAACCUACAACCUUUGCCACAACAAAUUUUCCAUCAACUGUGUCUCCCACAUCAGCUCCUUCAAGUAAGUACAGUAUAUAUUUUUUC
rnacentral:lncRNA from 1 species